rnacentral:rRNA from 1 species
AACGAACGCUGGCGGCAGGCCUAACACAUGCAAGUCGAACGUGAAGCCACCUUCGGGUGGUGGAAAGUGGCAGACGGGUGAGUAACGCGUGGGAACGUGCCUUUCGGUUCGGGAUAACCCAGGGAAACUUGGGCUAAUACCGGAUACGCCUUCGGGGGAAAGAUUCAUCGCCGAAAGAUCGGCCCGCGUCGGAUUAGCUUGUUGGUGGGGUAAAAGCCUACCAAGGCGACGAUCCGUAGCUGGUCUGAGAGGAUGAUCAGCCACACUGGGGACUGAGACACGGCCCAGACUCCUACGGGAGGCAGCAGUGGGGAAUAUUGGACAAUGGGCGCAAGCCUGAUCCAGCCAUGCCGCGUGGGUGAAGAAGGCCCUAGGGUUGUAAACCCCUUUCAGCGGGGAAGAUAAUGACGGUACCCGCAGAAGAAGCCCCGGCUAACUCCGUGCCAGCAGCCGCGGUAAUACGGAGGGGGCUAGCGUUGUUCGGAAUUACUGGGCGUAAAGCGCGCGUAGGCGGAUCUGCAAGUCGGGGUGAAAUCCCGAGGCUCAACCUCGGAACUGCCUUCGAUACUGCGGAUCUCGAGUCCGAGAGAGGUGAGUGGAAUUCCUAGUGUAGAGGUGAAAUUCGGUAGAUAUUAGGAAGAACACCAGUGGCGAAGGCGGCUCACUGGCUCGGUACUNACG